rnacentral:rRNA from 1 species
GACGAACGCUGGCGGCGCGCCUAACACAUGCAAGUCGAACGAGCAAAGAGGAGCCUUGCUUCUCUGAGCGAGUGGCGAACGGGUGAGUAACGCGUGAGGAACCUGCCUCAAAGAGGGAGACAACAGUUGGAAACGACUGCUAAUACCGCAUAAGCCCACAGAGCCGCAUGGCUCAGGGGGAAAGNGCAAUUCGCUUCAGGAUGGAUUCGCGUCCAAUUAGCUGGAUGGUGAGGUAACGGCCCACCAUGGCGACGAUUGGUAGCCGGACUGAGAGGUUGAUCGGCCACAUUGGGACUGAGACACGGCCCAGACUCCUACGGGAGGCAGCAGUGGGGAAUAUUGCACAAUGGGGGAAACCCUGAUGCAGCGACGCCGCGUGGAGGAAGAAGGUCUUCGGAUUGUAAACUCCUGUCGUUGGGGACGAUAAUGACGGUACCCAACAAGAAAGCCACGGCUAACUACGUG